rnacentral:lncRNA from 1 species
CAUCUUCUCCAAGUGAAUCUGGUGCUGGUGUAUCUAAAAUGUAGGAGACUUUCUCCUGAGUGAGAAUAAUUCUCAAGUUUCUUAACUAGUCGACAUAGUUAGAUCCAGUCAACUUGUUUGCAUCUAGUAUGCCUCUAAGUGACAGUGAGAAUGCCAUAUGUGUAGUUAAUCUAUAAUAAUAAGAAUACAAUAUAAGCGGAUAUCUCAUGAUGACAUGU